rnacentral:piRNA from 1 species
UAUGAUGAGGGUGAGGUGUGGAAUACAGGU